CAAAUAUCGGCUGCUGUCCGAAGUGAAUUCUCAGUAGCAGAACAGAAGGAAAACGAAGUCUUUCGCAUCAUAUUAUCCGAUCCUCUGGAAAGUUGUAGACCACACAAAAAAUACAUUAUGGCGGGACAUAGUGAUUCGAGUUCGUCUGAGAAGAAAUCAAGUGAAGCUAUGAACGAUUGUACCGGUUUUUAGCGCGGAGAAUAUGCAAAAUAACAUGAAAGUUAUAUUACAGCCGAACAUUUAUGUCUAUCAUCGGAGGGGUUAUUGCCGGGAUUUUAGGGUUCACAGGCUUUAUGGGGUUUGUCUUUUAUUUUCUUGUCAUGGCAAUUACUUCAAUUGGACUCAUAGCAAAGGCGAAG